rnacentral:rRNA from 1 species
AGAGUUUGAUCCUGGUUCUAAAUGAACGCUGGCGGCAGGCCUAACACAUGCAAGUCGAACGCUCUCCUCGGAGAGAGUGGCGCACGGGUGAGGAACACGUGGGAAACUACCUUUUGGUACGGAAUAAUAUUUGGAAACGAAUACUAAUACCGUAUGGUCCCUCCGGGGUAAAGAUUUAUCGCCAAAAGAUGUGCCCGCGUCCAAUUAGCUAGAUGGUAAGGUAACGGCUUACCAUGGCGACGAUUGGUAGCUGGUCUGAGAGGAUGAUCAGCCACACUGGAACUGAGACACGGUCCAGACUCCUACGGGAGGCAGCAGUGGGGAAUAUUGCGCAAUGGAGGAAACUCUGACGCAGCCAUGUCGCGUGAGUGAAGAAGGCCUUAGGGUUGUAAAGCUCUUUUACCCGCGAUGAUAAUGACAGUAGCGGGAGAAAAAGCCCCGGCUAACUUCGUGCCAGCAGCCGCGGUAAUACGAAGGGGGCGAGCGUUGUUCGGAAUUACUGGGCGUAAAGAGUACGUAGGCGGUUUUACAAGUUAGGCGUGAAAGCCCAGAGCUCAACUCUGGAACUGCGUUUAAAACUGUAAAACUAGAAUCUCGGAGAGGAUAGCGGAAUUUCCAGUGUAGAGGUGAAAUUCGUAGAUAUUGGAAGGAACACC